GAUGAACGCUGGCGGCGUGCCUAAUACAUGCAAGUCGAGCGAACAGACGAGGAGCUUGCUCCUUUGACGUUAGCGGCGGACGGGUGAGUAACACGUAGGUAACCUACCUAUAAGACUGGGAUAACUUCGGGAAACCGGAGCUAAUACCGGAUAAUAUUUCGAACCGCAUGGUUCGAUAGUUAAAGAUGGCUUUGCUAUCACUUAUAGAUGGACCUUCGCCGUAUUAGCUAGUUGGUAAGGUAACGGCUUACCAAGGCAACGAUACGUAGCCGACCUGAGAGGGUGAUCGGCCACACUGGAACUGAGACACGGUCCAGACUCCUACGGGAGGCAGCAGUAGGGAAUCUUCCGCAAUGGGCGAAAGCCUGACGGAGCAACGCCGCGUGAGUGAUGAAGGUCUUCGGAUCGUAAAACUCUGUUAUUAGGGAAGAACAAACGUGUAAGUAACUGUGCACGUCUUGACGGUACCUAAUCAGAAAGCCACGGCUAACUACGUG
rnacentral:rRNA from 1 species